UACGAAGGGGGCUAGCGUUGCUCGGAAUCACUGGGCGUAAAGCGCACGUAGGCGGAUUGUUAAGUCGGGGGUGAAAUCCUGGAGCUCAACUCCAGAACUGCCUUUGAUACUGGCGACCUUGAGACCGGUAGAGGUAAGUGGAACUGCGAGUGUAGAGGUGAAAUUCGUAGAUAUUCGCAAGAACACCAGUGGCGAAGGCGGCUUACUGGACCGGUUCUGACGCUGAGGCGCGAAAGCGUGGGGAGCAAACAGG
rnacentral:rRNA from 1 species